AGGGAAACCGAGUCUUAACCGGGCGUUAAGUUGCAGGGUAUAGACCCGAAACCCGGUGAUCUAGCCAUGGGCAGGUUGAAGGUUGGGUAACACUAACUGGAGGACCGAACCGACUAAUGUUGAAAAAUUAGCGGAUGACCUGUGGCUGGGGGUGAAAGGCCAAUCAAACCGGGAGAUAGCUGGUUCUCCCCGAAAGCUAUUUAGGUAGCGCCUCGUGAAUUCAUCUCCGGGGGUAGAGCACUGUUUCGGCUAGGGGGCCAUCCCGGCUUACCAACCCGAUGCAAACUGCGAAUACCGGAGAAUGUUAUCACGGGAGACACACGGCGGGUGCUAACGUCCGUCGUGAAGAGGGAAACAACCCAGACCGCCAGCUAAGGUCCCAAAGUCAUGGUUAAGUGGGAAACGAUGUGGGAAGGCCCAGACAGCCAGGAUGUUGGCUUAGAAGCAGCCAUCAUUUAAAGAAAGCGUAAUAGCUCACUGGUCGAGUCGGCCUGCGCGGAAGAUGUAACGGGGCUAAACCAUGCACCGAAGCUGCGGCAGCGACACUGUGUGUUGUUGGGUAGGGGAGCGUUCUGUAAGCCUGUGAAGGUGUGUCGUGAGGCAUGCUGGAGGUAUCAGAAGUGCGAAUGCUGACAUAAGUAACGAUAAAGCGGGUGAAAAGCCCGCUCGCCGGAAGACCAAGGGUUCCUGUCCAACGUUAAUCGGGGCAGGGUGAGUCGACCCCUAAGGCGAGGCCGAAAGGCGUAGUCGAUGGGAAACGGGUUAAUAUUCCCGUACUUGGUGUUACUGCGAAGGGGGGACGGAGAAGGCUAUGUUGGCCGGGCGACGGUUGUCCCGGUUUAAGCGUGUAGGUGUGUGUUCCAGGUAAAUCCGGUUCACUUUAACACUGAGGCGUGAUGACGAGGCACUACGGUGCUGAAGCAACAAAUGCCCUGCUUCCAGGAAAAGCCUCUAAGCAUCAGGUAACAUCAAAUCGUACCCCAAACCGACACAGGUGGUCAGGUAGAGAAUACCAAGGCGCUUGAGAGAACUCGGGUGAAGGAACUAGGCAAAAUGGUGCCGUAACUUCGGGAGAAGGCACGCUGACACGUAGGUGAAGUGAUUUACUCAUGGAGCUGAAGUCAGUCGAAGAUACCAGCUGGCUGCAACUGUUUAUUAAAAACACAGCACUGUGCAAACACGAAAGUGGACGUAUACGGUGUGACGCCUGCCCGGUGCCGGAAGGUUAAUUGAUGGGGUCAGCGCAAGCGAAGCUCCUGAUCGAAGCCCCGGUAAACGGCGGCCGUAACUAUAACGGUCCUAAGGUAGCGAAAUUCCUUGUCGGGUAAGUUCCGACCUGCACGAAUGGCGUAAUGAUGGCCAGGCUGUCUCCACCCGAGACUCAGUGAAAUUGAACUCGCUGUGAAGAUGCAGUGUACCCGCGGCAAGACGGAAAGACCCCGUGAACCUUUACUAUAGCUUGACACUGAACAUUGAGCCUUGAUGUGUAGGAUAGGUGGGAGGCUUUGAAGCGUGGACGCCAGUCUGCGUGGAGCCGACCUUGAAAUACCACCCUUUAAUGUUUGAUGUUCUAACGUGGACCCGUGAUCCGGGUUGCGGACAGUGUCUGGUGGGUAGUUUGACUGGGGCGGUCUCCUCCUAAAGAGUAACGGAGGAGCACGAAGGUUGGCUAAUCCUGGUCGGACAUCAGGAGGUUAGUGCAAUGGCAUAAGCCAGCUUGACUGCGAGCGUGACGGCGCGAGCAGGUGCGAAAGCAGGUCAUAGUGAUCCGGUGGUUCUGAAUGGAAGGGCCAUCGCUCAACGGAUAAAAGGUACUCCGGGGAUAACAGGCUGAUACCGCCCAAGAGUUCAUAUCGACGGCGGUGUUUGGCACCUCGAUGUCGGCUCAUCACAUCCUGGGGCUGAAGUAGGUCCCAAGGGUAUGGCUGUUCGCCAUUUAAAGUGGUACGCGAGCUGGGUUUAGAACGUCGUGAGACAGUUCGGUCCCUAUCUGCCGUGGGCGCUGGAGAACUGAGGGGGGCUGCUCCUAGUACGAGAGGACCGGAGUGGACGCAUCACUGGUGUUCGGGUUGUCAUGCCAAUGGCACUGCCCGGUAGCUAAAUGCGGAAGAGAUAAGUGCUGAAAGCAUCUAAGCACGAAACUUGCCCCGAGAUGAGUUCUCCCUGAGACUUAAAGUCUCCUGAAGGAACGUUGAAGACGACGACGUUGAUAGGCCGGGUGUGUAAGCGCAGCGAUGCGUUGAGCUAACCGGUACUAAUGAACCGUGAGGCUUAACCUUACAACGCCGAAG
rnacentral:rRNA from 1 species